CCUACGGGAGGCAGCAGUAGGGAAUCUUCCGCAAUGGACGAAAGUCUGACGGAGCAACGCCGCGUGAGUGAUGAAGGUUUUCGGAUCGUAAAACUCUGUUGUCAGGGAAGAACAAGUGCCGUUUGAAUAAGGCGGCACCUUGACGGUACCUGACCAGAAAGCCCCGGCUAACUACGUGCCAGCAGCCGCGGUAAU
rnacentral:rRNA from 1 species